rnacentral:rRNA from 1 species
CCCCGCACAAGCAGCGGAGCGUGUGGUUUAAUUCGAUGCUACACGAAGAACCUUACCAGGGUUUGACAUGCAAGUGGUAGAGAAGCGAAAGCGGAUCCACCCUCGGGAGCUUGCACAGGUGCUGCAUGGCUGUCGUCAGCUCGUGUCGUGAGAUGUCCGGUUAAGUCCGGUAACGAGCGCAACCCUCGCUGUGUGUUAUAUGUGUCACACGGGACUGCCGGUAUCAAGCCGGAGGAAGGUGGGGAUGACGUCAAGUCAGCAUGGCCUUUAUGUCUGGGGCUACACACACGCUACAAUGGCCAGUACAAUAGGUUGCAAGACCGCGAGGUGGAGCCAAUCCUUAAAGCUGGUCUCAGUUCGGAUUGCAGGCUGCAACUCGCCUGCAUGAAGUCGGAGUUGCUAGUAACCGCGCGUCAGCCAUAGUGCGGUGAAUACGUUCCCGGGCCUU